rnacentral:rRNA from 1 species
UGGGGAAUCUUGCGCAAUGGGCGAAAGCCUGACGCAGCGACGCCGCGUGCGGGAAGAAGGCCUUCGGGUUGUAAACCGCUUUCAGGAGGGACGAAGCUACUCGGGUGAAUAGCCCAGAGGGUGACGGUACCUCCAGAAGAAGCCCCGGCUAACUACGUGCCAGCAGCCGCGGUAAUACGUAGGGGGCAAGCGUUGUCCGGAUUCAUUGGGCGUAAAGAGCGUGUAGGCGGCCAGCUAGGUCCGAUGUGAAAACUGGAGGCUCAACCUCCAGCUGUCAUUGGAAACCAGUUGGCUAGAGUCCGGAAGAGGAGAGUGGAAUUCCUGGUGUAGCGGUGAAAUGCGCAGAUAUCAGGAAGAACACCUAUGGCGAAGGCAGCUCUCUGGGACGGUACUGACGCUGAGACGCGAAAGCGUGGGGAGCGAAC